GACGAACGCUGGCGGCGUGCUUAACACAUGCAAGUCGAACGGAAAGGCCCUGCUUUUGUGGGGUGCUCGAGUGGCGAACGGGUGAGUAACACGUGAGUAACCUGCCCUUGACUUUGGGAUAACUUCAGGAAACUGGGGCUAAUACCGGAUAGGAGCUCCUGCUGCAUGGUGGGGGUUGGAAAGUUUCGGCGGUUGGGGAUGGACUCGCGGCUUAUCAGCUUGUUGGUGGGGUAGUGGCUUACCAAGGCUUUGACGGGUAGCCGGCCUGAGAGGGUGACCGGCCACAUUGGGACUGAGAUACGGCCCAGACUCCUACGGGAGGCAGCAGUGGGGAAUAUUGCACAAUGGGCGGAAGCCUGAUGCAGCAACGCCGCGUGCGGGAUGACGGCCUUCGGGUUGUAAACCGCUUUCGCCUGUGACGAAGUGUGAGUGACGGUAACGGGUAAAGAAGCACCGGCUAACUACGUG
rnacentral:rRNA from 1 species